UGUGUAGCACCUGAUCCAAAGCCCACUGAAUUCAAUGGGAGUCUUUCCAUUGAGAUCAAUGGGAUUUGGAUCAGGAACUUCG
rnacentral:pre_miRNA from 1 species